rnacentral:lncRNA from 1 species
AUGUAUAAAAGACAAGACUUUUAUGUUAAAAAUUAUAAAAGACACGAAGAAUCAAAAUACCAAAGUCGAAAACAAUUAUUAAUAGAUGAUAAUGGCACGUUUUUAAACGUUUCGUACCAUAUUAGAAAAUUAUUUAGUUAUUGUGAUGCAGAUAUAUUACGAAUAGAAAAUAAUUUGAAUAUAUACAACAGCUUAAUUGAUAAUAUAAAAAAGAAUGGAAAUAAAAUAAUAAAAAAAGAAUUAGAAAAAAUAAUUAGAGAAAAAGAACAAAAUGAAAAUUUUACAUUAAACGAUAUGUUACAAGAUAAUGAAUAUAAAAUAAAAAAUUUUGAUUUAAAAAAGAUUGAAUUAGAUUUUAAAUUUAUUGAAUGUAGUUUAUGUUUUGAAUUAAUUAAACUUGUGUGUGUUCAAGAAUGUAAUCAUACAUAUUGUUUUUUAUGUUUUUAUCGUUUAUUUUAUAUGGAAAAGAAAGAAAAUAACAAUGAUGGCUAUGGUAAUAAUAGUAGCAGUAGCAGUAGUAGGAAUCGUAUGGACACUACUGAAGGUUAUGUAGGUGGAAGUAGUAGUAUUAAUAAUAAUUACUACGACAGACAAAAUUAUUAUAGUUAUAAUAAUAAUAAUACAUAUUCAAAUUAUAACAAUAAUAGUAAUAAUAAUAGUAGGUCUAAUUAUACAUAUAGAACAGGUUUAAAUAACUCUCAUAGAUUAAACAACAACAACACUAAUAGUAGUAGUAGUAAUAGAGGUAUUAACAAUAUAAACGAUACAAAAGAUGAAAAAUUUAAUUACGAAUUUGAAAGGAAAAAAAUAAAAUGUCCCUUUUGUAAAGAAUGUAAUGAAUAUAUUUUUUUUGGUUUAAAUAAUUUUUAUACAUAUUUUACGUAUUAUAAUUUAUUAAAAACGUUACUAGAAACAGAAGAAGAUUGUUUGUUGAAUAAAGAAACGCUUGAAAUGACUGAUUGUAGUGAAAUUUUAUUAAAAAAAAUGGAUUCUACUACAGAAGAGAAUGAUAAACAUACCACAACAUAUAACAUGAAUAAAACAAAUCAAGAUAAUAAACAAAAAAAUGAUAUUAAUACAGAUAUAGUAGUAAGUGAUAAUAAUGCCUAUGCAAAGGAACAAACUUUAGACAAAGAAAAGAAUAGGGAUAUAUUGUUAAGUGAAAUUAAAGAAAAUUUAAUAGAUGGACAAAAUCAAUCAAUAAUUAAAGAUAAUUUAAAAAAAUUAUUUUCAUCUGAUCAUGAUGAUAUUAUAAUAUUAAAAAAUAUAUUAAAAUGUAGCGACGAUUUUAGUGAUAGUUGUUGUACAGGUAGUGGUUGUGGGAUUGCUACGGUCAGGAAUGGAAGCAAUAACAUGGGUAAAACAAUAAAAAGUACUAAGGGAAAUACUAAAAAUGCUAAAAACAAUGAUAAAAGCGAAAAUUCAUAUUUAUUUUUUUAUUAUGAAAAAUAUAUAAAAAGAAAAAAAGAAAAAAUUUUGUAUUUAUUAAAAAAUUGUGUUAGUUCUUCAAAACGGUAUGCAUUUUAUUCUAAAAUUUUUGUUGAUACAGAGAGAAAAGUAUUUUAUGAAUAUUUUUAUAUUUAUAGUUUAUGUAAGCUUUUAACUAGUUAUGCUUGUCUUUUACCUUCUUGCAUAGACCAAUGGGUUUCAAUUCUUAAUAAAAAAAUUAUCAAAUUUAAAACGAAUCAUAAAACAGAUAAAUAUUUUGAAGAAAUAUAUAUUAAUGACAAUAAGCAAUUAUUACGUAAAAAAAAUGAUUCUAUAUAUGAUAAAUAUCAUCAACAUACUAAAACUUUAUUUAAUAUAAGUGAAACAGAGUCGGAACAAUCUGAUAAUUAUUUUAAAGUUAUAGAUAUUUUUUAUAAAACGUGUUACACUAAUUUGGAUAGUGUAACCAAUUUAGAUCAAUUAAAAACAUACUGUUAUAAAAGAUUAACUGAUUUGUGUCGACAUAUGAAUGAACAUAAUAAAACGUAUUGUGACAUAUGUGUUCAAAACAAUGAUAAUAAUUUUUUAUUCGAAUACAAUAUUUUUUUUAGAAAAUUUCUGAAAAUACAUAUUGAAGAAGGAGAAAAAAUAUCAGAGAAAAAAUAUAAAAUCAGGCAUAUCUUUUGUCACUUAUGUAGUUACUAUUUAUACGAUUUUGAUACUUAUAUGAAUCAUAUAAACAAGUUUCAUUUUUUUUGCAAAUUCUGCUUUAACAAAUGUCCCAAUGAUUCAAAGGAAGUGGUUAAAAAUGAGUUAGACGAUGUUUAUUAUUAUGACCAGUUGCAUCAACAUGUAUACAAAGAUUAUGAUCAAUUGUUUAGCCACUACAAAAAGAAACAUCACCCUUGCUUAUAUGAAGAAUGUAUGUUUGUUGUGUUUGACAAUAAAAUAGAUUUGUGUUUUCAUUUGGCUGAAAAACAUGAAGAAAAAGGGAGUAACAAAAAGAGUAAAAUUUCUUUUGCUUUAGGGGGUCCGUCUUAUAAUCAAAUUCGUAAUAAUAUACAUAAUAAUACACAUAAUAAUGAAAAUAAUAGUAAUAUUUAUAAUACAUAUGGCAUGAAUGAAAGUAGUAGUAUUAAUAAUAACAAUUACAAUAACAAUUACAGUAAUGAAUAUAAUAAUGAUUUAACUAAUUUAGGUACUGGUAUUGUUACUAGUUGUACUGAAAAAAUAGACGUACGUAAUUACAAAUGUAUAUAUAAUUUUAAAAAAUUUUAUGACUGUUGGUAUUUUGAUUACUUUGUUGAAUGCAAGUUAUUAGACUUUGUCGAUUAUUUUAAAUCAAAUAAACCAUCUUUUUUUUUGUAUAAUAAAUAA